UGGGCAGUAGCUCAGUAGUAGAGUUCCCGCCUCAUAUGUGGGAAGACCUGGGUUCGAUUCGCCGCUGCUCAC
rnacentral:tRNA from 1 species